rnacentral:rRNA from 1 species
UGGGGAAUCUUGCGCAAUGGGGGAAACCCUGACGCAGCGACGCCGCGUGCGGGAUGAAGGCCUUCGGGUUGUAAACCGCUUUCAGCAGGGACGAGGCCUUAUGGUGACGGUACCUGCAGAAGAAGCUCCGGCUAAAUACGUGCCAGCAGCCGCGGUAAUACGUAUGGAGCAAGCGUUAUCCGGAUUCAUUGGGCGUAAAGCGCUCGUAGGCGGUCUGUUAGGUCGGCAAGUUAAAUCCGGGGGCUCAACCCCCGUCCGCUUCCGAUACCGGCAGACUUGAGUUUGGUAGGGGAAGGUGGAAUUCCUAGUGUAGCGGUGAAAUGCGUAGAUAUUGGGAGGAACACCAGUAGCGAAGGCGGCUUUCUGGACUGCAACUGACACUGAGGCACGAAAGCGUGGGUAGCAAACAGG